CAGUAGCCGCGGUAAUACGGAGGGUGCAAGCGUUAAUCGGAAUUACUGGGCGUAAAGCGCACGCAGGCGGUCUGACAAGUCAGAUGUGAAAUCCCCGGGCUUAACCUGGGAACUGCAUUUAAAACUGUCAGGCUGGAGUCUUGUAGAGGGGGGUAGAAUUCCAGGUGUAGCGGUGAAAUGCGUAGAGAUCUGGAGGAAUACCGGUGGCGAAGGCGGCCCCCUGGACAAAGACUGACGCUCAGGUGCGAGAGCGUGGGGAGCAAACAGGAUUAGAUACCCCGGUAGUCCCUGUCUCUUAUAC
rnacentral:rRNA from 1 species